rnacentral:rRNA from 5 species
AGACCCGAAACCCGGUGAUCUAGCCAUGGGCAGGUUGAAGGUUGGGUAACACUAACUGGAGGACCGAACCGACUAAUGUUGAAAAAUUAGCGGAUGACCUGUGGCUGGGGGUGAAAGGCCAAUCAAACCGGGAGAUAGCUGGUUCUCCCCGAAAGCUAUUUAGGUAGCGCCUCGUGAAUUCAUCUCCGGGGGUAGAGCACUGUUUCGGCUAGGGGGCCAUCCCGGCUUACCAACCCGAUGCAAACUGCGAAUACCGGAGAAUGUUAUCACGGGAGACACACGGCGGGUGCUAACGUCCGUCGUGAAGAGGGAAACAACCCAGACCGCCAGCUAAGGUCCCAAAGUCAUGGUUAAGUGGGAAACGAUGUGGGAAGGCCCAGACAGCCAGGAUGUUGGCUUAGAAGCAGCCAUCAUUUAAAGAAAGCGUAAUAGCUCACUGGUCGAGUCGGCCUGCGCGGAAGAUGUAACGGGGCUAAACCAUGCACCGAAGCUGCGGCAGCGACGCU